CCUCCGUUGGUGAACCAGCGGAGGGAUCAUUAUCGAGUUUAUAACUCCCAAACCCUAUGUGAACUUACCACUUGUUGCUUCGGCGCGCGCUUCGGUGCCGCCGAGGACACUUAAACUCUUUGUUUUUAUAAGCAUUUCUGAGUGGCCGAAAGGCAAGAUACAAAUGAAUCAAAACUUUCAACAACGGAUCUCUUGGUUCUG
rnacentral:misc_RNA from 1 species